rnacentral:rRNA from 1 species
AGUGAACGCUGGCGGUAGGCCUAACACAUGCAAGUCGAACGGCAGCACAGUAAGAGCUUGCUCUUACGGGUGGCGAGUGGCGGACGGGUGAGGAAUACAUCGGAAUCUACUUUUUCGUGGGGGAUAACGUAGGGAAACUUACGCUAAUACCGCAUACGACCUACGGGUGAAAGCAGGUGAUCUUCGGACCUUGCGCGAUUGAAUGAGCCGAUGUCGGAUUAGCUAGUUGGCGGGGUAAAGGCCCACCAAGGCGACGAUCCGUAGCUGGUCUGAGAGGAUGAUCAGCCACACUGGAACUGAGACACGGUCCAGACUCCUACGGGAGGCAGCAGUGGGGAAUAUUGGACAAUGGGCGCAAGCCUGAUCCAGCCAUACCGCGUGGGUGAAGAAGGCCUUCGGGUUGUAAAGCCCCUUUGUUGGGAAAGAAAAGCAGCAGGUUAAUACCCCGCUGUUCUGACGGUACCCAAAGAAUAAGCACCGGCUAACUUCGUG